GAUGAACGCUGGCGGCGUGCCUAAUACAUGCAAGUCGAGCGAACGGACGAGAAGCUUGCUUCUCUGAUGUUAGCGGCGGACGGGUGAGUAACACGUGGAUAACCUACCUAUAAGACUGGGAUAACUUCGGGAAACCGGAGCUAAUACCGGAUAAUAUUUUGAACCGCAUGGUUCAAAAGUGAAAGACGGUCUUGCUGUCACUUAUAGAUGGAUCCGCGCUGCAUUAGCUAGUUGGUAGGGUAACGGCUUACCAAGGCUACGAUGCAUAGCCGACCUGAGAGGGUGAACGGCGGCCUUGGUACUGAGAUAAGGCCCAGAAUCCUACGGGAGGAAGCAGUGGGGAAUAUUGCACAAUGGGCGGAAGCAUGAUGCAGCAACGCCGCGUGCGGGAUGACGGCCUUCGGGUUGUAAACCGCUUUCGCCUGUGACGAAGCGUGAGUGACGGUAAUGGGUAAAGAAGCACCGGCUAACUACGUG
rnacentral:rRNA from 1 species